AUCGGAGGAGCAGCCGAUUAGGGGCUGGAGGCGGGGAAAGCAAAGUGGAGGAGGUGGUAAGCUUUGCUGGCAUUGUUAACAAUUUUGGAGAGAAGUUGCUGCAGAACUUUGGAGAGAAGUCAGUCUCGAAGUGCUGCAGCCUAUGAGGAUAUUGAAACUUCGAUGUAUACCACCAAGUGAGUGAUCAAAGACCAAGGAAUUAAGCAAAAUAAUCCUGAUGAAGGGUCUCGGCCCGAAAUGUCGACAGUCCUUCUUCCUCUAGAUGCUGCCUGGCCUGAUGCGUUCUACCAGCAUUUUAUGUGUGUUGCUUGAAUUUCCAGCAUCUGCAGAUUUCCUCGAGUGGGUGAAAUCACCUAGAGGCAAAAAUAUUAUAAAUGUUAGACAGCAGUCAGGCUUGUUAGGAAUGAUCAAGAAAUGUCAAGAAGAAUAACAGAAAGAUGGGUGACCAGAAUCCAUUCCUCUGCCUUUGUUUUCUGUGACUCAUUCAUUUACAACUCAUUGGGUAUGUCAUUUUAGCUUAAAGAAAUUGUACCCGUCAUUUAGAAAUCCUUUGUAUUUUGAAAUCAUUUGUUACUUGGAAGUCUUUUAGAAGAUAGACAUCCUUUGUGAGCUUUUUAUGUGUUUUAAGAAUGUUAUGUAAAUUCAGAUAUGUAUCACUAAAGAUAAAUGUACUGCGUUUAAACUACUUCAAUAGUUGGAAGCAUCUCCUCCUUGGUAGGGAGGGAGGACCCACUGCUCAAAUCGUGGGUGUUGGCAGCUAAGUUCAUCAUGGAGGAUAAAGAUGGAGGUGAUCUAACCUUUGGCUACAGGAAGCCUCCCUUCAGAGAGGGUACCUGUAGCUCCCUAUAUCAAAUAGGGCUUAAGACUUUUGUUUGAGUUCAGAACUUCACGGACAACAAACCCAAUACCAUCACCAGUAGCAAAGACUGAAUAGGUCAAUUGUGGUUGAAUCACACCAUCCAGAUUGUGCAUAGUUAGGACAGCUGUGGAAAGUCUAAAACUACUGCUGGAAUUUGCUCCCUCGGGCUAAGUUAAAGUCAAUGUUGAGUUUAUUGUUGUGUGCACAGGUGCAGUGAAAAAUUUACUUCAGCAGCAUCAUAAACGCAAAGUACACUAUAUCCACAAGUUAAACAUAAAUGGAACGCCAAUUAUAAGAAUUGUUCUGGAAAGAAGACAAUUAAAUCAAAAAGUAGCCAGUUGCAGUGCAAAAUGGGCAUAGUGUUGUUGUGUUAAGGUAGUUGUAUAGGUUAUGAAGUGAAGACCCACAGGUUGAUAAGAUUUAACACUUUAAAUAACUCAUGCAUUUCAAAUGUGCAUCAGGCCAAAAGACAUAGAGGCAUAAUUAGGCUUUUUGGUCCAUCAAGACUGCUGUCAUUCCAUCAUGGCUGAUUUAAGAUGGCACUGGUGAGACACAGCAAUGCCUUCCUAGCAACAAGCAGAUUUACUGAUUAAAAAAUUCAAAGCUCAAAGUAAUUUUUAUUAUCAAAGUAGAUAUAUGUCACUACACACCACCCUGAGAUUCAGUUUCCUGUGAGCAUACGCAGCAAAUUUAUAGAAUACUGACUAUAACAGGCUUAAUGAAAGAUCAAGUAGACUGUAGAAGACAACAAGACUGUGCAGAUGCAAAUAUAAAAUAACUGCAAAAAAUAAGAACAUGAAAUAACAUGAUAACGAGCCCUUAAAAUGAAAUAGUUGGUUGUGGCAACAUCUCAGUGAUGGGCAAAGUGAGUGUAGUUAUCCCCUUUUGUUCAAGAGCCGGAUUGUUGAGGGGUAGUAACUGUUCCGGAACAUGGUGGUGUACGUCUUGAGGCUCUUUUACUUUCAGCCUCAUGGCAUUAGCAAGAAAAGAGCAUUCCUGGGUGGUGAGGAUGUCUGAUGAUGGAUGCUGCUUUCCUACGACAGCAUUUCAUGUAGAUGUGCACAAUAGUUGGGAGGGCUUUACUGGUGAUGUACUAGGCUGAAUCCACUACCUUUUGUAGGAUUUUCCAUUCAAAAGCAAAUCUGAAGAUCAUUAAUAUGAUUUAGAAGUCCAUUGUUAAGAGGAAAUUUACAUGCUGCAAAUUGCAGCAAAAAACAUUCAAAGUAAGUAUACUUAAGAAGAAGUCCUAAACAAUUUUCUGCAGCCCACAGAAAGUCACCGAUGAUCACUGGCGCCAUUUUGAGGACUACUCUAUUAAUCGCACUUUUUCUGGACAAUGAUCACUGCAAUCACUAGUAUGUACCUUACCUUUUGGAGUUGUGCUUUGAAUCAGCUGUACAACCUGGCAUUUUUGUAGUGCGUACCGGAAUCUUGAAGGUGCAAUAAAGUUGCAGUGUGGUGGGAAUGGGCUGAAAUGACGCAGUGGGGCCAGGUCCAAGAACGAGGAAUGAGCUGAUGUUUGGCCAUUGCUGGAGCAGAUUUGGAGCCGAAUCAAAGUGACAGGGCCCAGGCCCGAGAGCUGGAAAGGAGCUGAUAUUUGGCCGAUGUAAGUAACGGCCAAGAUUAAAAAGGUCAAGACGUUGCGACCAGAGGCAAGGGAUGGGACAGGGUUUAGCUCGCUGCUCUGCAAGGUUUACUCAUCUCUGUGCGGAACUGAGGCUGUGGCCUGAAAAUAAUGGGCUCCUGGACCAGCUGCAGUGAUGAACUAACUUUGUGGGUGUGGUCUUACUUCUGUGAACUUUAGUUUUAUUUAUUUACUUUUUAUUGUUUGCCCAAAUUGUUCUUUUUUUUUGCACAUUGGAUAUUUGAUGGUCUUUUUUUUAAUGUGUACUAUGGGUUUAUUUGUUUUGUGGCUGUGUAAGAAGAUGAAUCUCAAGGUUGUAUAUAGUAUACUGUACAUACUUUGAUAAUAAAUGUACUUUGA